CCUACGGGUGGCAGCAGUCGAGAAUCAUUCACAAUGGGGGAAACCCUGAUGGUGCGACGCCGCGUGGGGGAAUGCAGGUCUUCGGAUUGUAAACCCCUGUCAUGUGGGAGCAAAUUAAAAAGAUAGUACCACAAGAGGAAGAGACGGCUAACUCGGUGCCAGCAGCCGCGGUAAUACAGAGGUCUCAAGCGUUGUUCGGAAUCACUGGGCGUAAAGCGUGCGUAGGCUGUUUCGUAAGUCGUGUGUGAAAGGCCCGGGCUCAACCCGCGGAUUGCACAUGAUACUGCGAGGCUAGAGUAUUGGAGGGGGAGCCGGAAUUCACGGUGUAGCAGUGAAAUGCGUAGAGAUCGGGAGGAACACUCGUGGCGAAGGCGGGUUCCUGGACAUUAACUGACGCUGAGGCACGAAGGCCAGGGGAGCGAAAGGGAUUAGAUACCCUAGUAGUC
rnacentral:rRNA from 1 species